UACGUAGGGUGCAAGCGUUAAUCGGAAUUACUGGGCGUAAAGCGUGCGUAGACGGUUAUGUAAGUCGGGUGUGAAAGCCCCGGGCUCAACCUGGGAAUUGCAUUCGAGACUGUGUAGCUAGGGUACGGAAGAGGGAAGCGGAAUUUCAGGUGUAGCGGUGAAAUGCGUAGAUAUCUGAAGGAACACCAGUGGCGAAAGCGGCUUCCUGGUCCAGUACCGACGUUCAGGCACGAAAGCGUGGGGAGCAAACAGG
rnacentral:rRNA from 1 species